GGGUUGUGAGGUUAAGCGACUAAGCGUACACGGUGGAUGCCCUGGCAGUCAGAGGCGAUGAAGGGCGUGCUAAUCUGCGAUAAGCGCCGGUAAGGUGAUAUGAACCGUUAUAACCGGCGAUACCCGAAUGGGGAAACCCAGUGUGACUCGUCACACUAUCAUUAACUGAAUCCAUAGGUUAAUGAGGCGAACCGGGGGAACUGAAACAUCUAAGUACCCCGAGGAAAAGAAAUCAACCGAGAUUCCCCCAGUAGCGGCGAGCGAACGGGGAGGAGCCCAGAGCCUGAAUCAGCAUGUGUGUUAGUGGAAGCGUCUGGAAAGGCGCGCGAUACAGGGUGACAGCCCCGUACACAAAAGCGCAUGUGUUGUGAGCUCGAUGAGUAGGGCGGGACACGUGAUAUCCUGUCUGAAUAUGGGGGGACCAUCCUCCAAGGCUAAAUACUCCUGACUGACCGAUAGUGAACCAGUACCGUGAGGGAAAGGCGAAAAGAACCCCGGCGAGGGGAGUGAAAAAGAACCUGAAACCGUGUACGUACAAGCAGUGGGAGCACCCUUCGGGGUGUGACUGCGUACCUUUUGUAUAAUGGGUCAGCGACUUAUAUUCUGUAGCAAGGUUAACCGAAUAGGGGAGCCGGAGGGAAACCGAGUCUUAACCGGGCGUUAAGUUGCAGGGUAUAGACCCGAAACCCGGUGAUCUAGCCAUGGGCAGGUUGAAGGUUGGGUAACACUAACUGGAGGACCGAACCGACUAAUGUUGAAAAAUUAGCGGAUGACCUGUGGCUGGGGGUGAAAGGCCAAUCAAACCGGGAGAUAGCUGGUUCUCCCCGAAAGCUAUUUAGGUAGCGCCUCGUGAAUUCAUCUCCGGGGGUAGAGCACUGUUUCGGCUAGGGGGCCAUCCCGGCUUACCAACCCGAUGCAAACUGCGAAUACCGGAGAAUGUUAUCACGGGAGACACACGGCGGGUGCUAACGUCCGUCGUGAAGAGGGAAACAACCCAGACCGCCAGCUAAGGUCCCAAAGUCAUGGUUAAGUGGGAAACGAUGUGGGAAGGCCCAGACAGCCAGGAUGUUGGCUUAGAAGCAGCCAUCAUUUAAAGAAAGCGUAAUAGCUCACUGGUCGAGUCGGCCUGCGCGGAAGAUGUAACGGGGCUAAACCAUGCACCGAAGCUGCGGCAGCGA
rnacentral:rRNA from 1 species